CGAGAGAAAUACAUUUUUUCUUACGCAUUUUAUGGAUGUUGUUUUCUAAGUUGCAACCAUGCAUUUAAGGAUCUGUUUUCUAAUUUUAUUUAUUUGGAAAAGUUUGGCAAUUUUAGUGCCUCCGCAUUGUGACCUCUUAAUAAUUACCGUUCCCCCUGUUUUUUUUAGAGUGUUAUGAUAUCAAAGAUUGCGAAUGAAGUGUUUAAACCUUCCGCACCGAAAAGAUGAAGCUCAAAAUUAAAUUUAAAUGUUUUGAAAUUUAUUCGAAAUAAAGCACAGUUCUAUUAGC